rnacentral:rRNA from 1 species
CGGUAAUACGUAGGGUGCAAGCGUUGUCCGGAAUUAUUGGGCGUAAAGAGCUCGUAGGCGGUUGGUCGCGUCUGCUGUGAAAACCCGAGGCUCAACCUCGGGCCUGCAGUGGGUACGGGCCAACUAGAGUGCGGUAGGGGAGAUCGGAAUUCCUGGUGUAGCGGUGGAAUGCGCAGAUAUCAGGAGGAACACCAAUGGCGAAGGCAGAUCUCUGGGCCGUAACUGACGCUGAGGAGCGAAAGCGUGGGGAGCGAACAGGAUUAGAUACCCUGGUAGUCCACGCCGUAAACGGUGGGAACUAGUUGUAGGGGCCAUUCCACGGCUUCUGUGACGAAGCUAACGCAUUAAGUUCCCCGCCUGGGGAGUACGGCCGCAAGGCUAAAACUCAAAGGAAUUGACGGGGGCCCGCACAAGCGGCGGAGCAUGCGGAUUAAUUCGAUGCAACGCGAAGAACCUUACCAAGGCUUGACAUAUACAGGAAACGUGCAGAGAUGUACGCCCCGCAAGGUCUGUAUAC